UGAAGAUGUGCUCCACUUCAAUCCUGCGCCCGCUGUAUUCCUUAAGCAUGACUUUUCCCUUGGAGGUGCUGGUUUGUGGAACCGACAUAAUGAGGGUGGAUUUCAGCCAACCCCUCCUCUUGCAGUAUCUACAAAGAAAACAGCAAGAAGAAAACCACUCCAGUGCAACUCAAUAUCCCACAGCUUCCAUCCUGGUUUUGCCAGACAGCUGUGGGGUGAAGUUGAGCAGACACUGGUCUGUUUGCAGUUGCUUUGAUGAAGCUGACAAGUGUCCACUUCCUACUGGGACCAUUUUGUCACGAUGCAGACAGGCUAAGGGGUGAGGUGAGAGAGCUGGCCACAAAACCAGUGGAGCAGGAAGCACACACAUGGUGCUGGAUGAUUUGGGCUAAAAAAAUACCCACGCUGUCUGGCAGGCAGAUAGGAUGAACCCCAAAUCCAUAACUAAAAGAAGAGGCUCUUCAUGGCUGAACCCUGAGUCAUGGUCCAGAGCACAGUAACUCUCACAAGAUCCCUUCUUUCUGCAUCCUUCCUACCAAUAUCACUCCACCCAAUUAUCUAGUCCUCCGUUAAGGAAAUAUCUGGCAAGCUUCAACAAUCAAACUAUGACAGAGCCAACAGGCCUGCAGUGUCUGAGAACCCUGCACACUGGGACCACCAGCCUCAUUCCCAGCCAUCUUACCUAGCUCCUCUCUGUGGUUUUGCACUGUCAAUGUAUUCAGACAAUUACAACUCCCCUUCCCAGGAAUCUGAAUGCAGCAUUUUUAGAAAGAGCCAUAAGAUAUUACCCUACUAAUACAGGUAUCCUGAUUACUGCAAGUAGUAUUCUUCUGAAUUUCAGCUGCAACUUGAUGAAAACUAUUCACAAGAGUUUACUCGUUAAAACAUUUCUUGUAUUAAAAAAAAAGAAUUAAUUUAAAACAUGGUAUUUGAUCAGAACAUUAAGGCUACUUAGGAGACAUGCAAAGAGAAACACUGCCAAAUUUUUAAGAUGUUCAAACACAAGAUUAUUUUGCAUAAGCACUACAAAGCCUAAGUAUUUCCUCUUAUGAUUAACACUGAGAUUUCUGCAAACAUCUAGGACUUAAGCUGCAUAAGAUGUGCGUAUCCAUACGUGCCACUGGAAUUCUAGACAAAGUCUCCUGUCAUGUAAAGCAAACGCCUCCAACAAAAUGCUUAAAAAAACCCUCUUUUUACAGCAGCAGAGAAUUAUUAAUAGCUUCUUUGGCUCUGCUCUUCUUCCUGGUUAGAAAUCAUAUGCAAACACAGUGACUCUAGCACAGCACACUGUGUGUUGUCCAAGGGUGUGUGCCAGUUUAUAUAUAAACAUACAUUUGUCAGGGAACAGGAUUUGUCAGUAAUUCUGAGAGGCAGCCUCUCUAUGCAAGGUUCAUGCUAACCUGUGCUCUCCCCUUCCAGAUGGUGAUAUAACGACUCUAAAACUGAUCUAUUCAGCUUUGUCCUAAGCAAGCACAGUUCCUUUCCCUGAAUGCCUAAACUGGAAGGCCAAACUCUUCUGUUCAUUCCUCUCCACUGCUGUAUUAUGCUCUCCACAGUCUAAUCAUGCAUUUCCCACACGACACUUUAGGAAGCUGCAGAGCUGAUAAAUAAUGUAAUGGAGCAUUCUGAGCAGACUUUAGGAGAGAUAAAAACAUGAAUAAAGCCACCUUCUGUCACAGUUACUUUUACAACACAGCAAGCCCUGCUGCUAGAACACAGCUGAGCCUUAAGAUACUCUUGGGAUUUAGAUAAUCCUUUAAGGAUAUACCUGGGGUCACUGGAGCAGUUGAAAGUGCCAGUACGUAUGCCAAAUCUUGAGACUUUCUUCACCAUUUUCUCCCAGUGGACUUUACCCACCAGUGGGCUUCUGUCGUUUGCUAUGACCUAUUGCCAAGAGGAAAUACUAGUUUAGUAUCACAGGCAGUUUGGUUCCUGAAAUAAAGAGCAAGUUUCAAGAAAACA